UGGCUAAGUGUACUGUGCACGUAACAAUCCGACCCGCUAGCAAUAAUAACUCGUUGGGCUCAAACCACCGGCCUAAAAUACUUAAGCUCAGUUUUUAUUAUUAACGUGUAAGUCUUAUAUAUUUUAAUCAGAAUCAAUUUUCCAUCUAACGUAGGACUAUUGGGGCGUUACACUGCAACACUCACAUCACAUUAUCUAAUUUCAGCCAAUUAUAUCUCAUUUUUUGAGAAAAAAAAGUACAAUAAAAAUAUUUUUCUAAAAAACAUGUUGGGGUGGGUGAACCCUAUGGAGCUUUUUGAUUGACUUGGGGUACCACAUCACCAAUAUAAGUAUUGUAUUCUAAAAUUUUUUCUUCGUAUUUUUUUAUUUUUUUUCUGACUUUCAAGAACGUAUAUUUCUUUAUCUCAAAUUUCAACUUCAUGCAUUUAACCCUCCCCAUUUCCCAAGAUUCUGUCAUUAAUUCGUUCAUUUCUUAUAAUUUAUAACAAAAAUACUCUUAAAAAUAACAGAAAUAUAUUACAAAAUUAUUUUUUAUAUAACAAGUAAGGGUAAUUUGGUCGUUUCGCCCUCCCAUUAUGGUCGUAACCUCUUAAAAAUAAUUUUAAAAUUUUAAAGGGGCAAAAUAUAUGUUUUUGAAAGUCAAGAAGAAAAAAUAAAAAAAAAAUUUAUAAAAAGGCUUUUUGUAUUUUAGCCUUAUAGGGCAAAUUACACUUUUGGUCCUCAAAUUACGAGGCCCGUGACACUUUAGUUCUAAAACUUUAAUUCAUUGUAAUUUUUUAUUCGAACUAUUUGGCCCACACUUUAAUUCUCAAAGUUUAAUUUGUUGAAAUUUCUGGCGGUUUGAAAGGCAUGUAAAACUUUAACUUUAGUCCUCGAACUUUCUAAAUUACCUUAAACAAGUCUCACGACCUUUUUUUAAAAAUAAGUAUUGAUGAAUUAUUAAUAUUAAAGUAAUAGUAUUUUAAUUAUUGUUGCAUCACCAAGUAAUAUAUCACAUACCUCAUAAUUCGAGUCAAAAAUUAUAACUAAUUAAAGUUUAAGAACUAAAUAUUAAGCGCCUCAUACUUUGAGAUAAAAAUUGCAACGAAUUAAAGUUCUGAA
rnacentral:lncRNA from 1 species